CCGCAAACUCUAGAAAGUGCUGGGUUGCCUGGACAGGGUGUCCCCGAGCUCGCUGGCUUGCUACAGAGGCUACACAAGAGGCAGCAGGAGCUGAGGCCAGCACCGCGGCCUUGGCUUCUACAUUGUGGUCUGUUAGGGGUGCGAAGCCUUCUGUUCACUGGAGAACUGCCCAGGAAUCCUUCUGCCUGGUAACUAAUCCCCCAAGAAGUGUCUGUUGCGCAUGCGUGCGUAGACACACACCUGACAACCAAACCGAAGAUACGUAGAGCAGUCUGAGUUUCAGAGUCCUGUCUUCUACCCAGAAAAGGCGCCUAGAGAUCUCCAACCAACAGUAACCUUGGGUUCUGGGAACAAGAGACUCCUACAGAACAAGACCUCCUGUCCAUUCAGGGGAACUUGGAAAAACAGCCAUGAGAAGACCAGGCUCUCUCUACCAUGAACUAUUGCCACAACGCAACAUCGUCACCGACCCAACUCAACAAGGUAGACAGCGAGACCAUGGACUUGAACUUCUGAGACCAUGAGCCAAAUAAGACUUUUCUCUCGUAAAUUGAUCUCAUUGGCUGCUAUGUCAGUGACAAAGGGCUGGACAGCAUGGGGCACCUUGAUACAUGCAUGGAUGAUACAUGCACGUGUGCACCCAUAAUGCUGGGGCGCUCAUCUGUCACACCAUGACUAGUAACGUUACAACGGUAAUUCUUUGGGUUCACCUCAGCCUGAUCAAGACCCCGUCAGGUGGGCUGGCACUGUCUGACUGGCUCUCUACAGACCCUGGUGGGGCCUCAAGUGUGAGGACACUGCUGGGAAACCUCACGGCUCUUUGCUCAGUUGACACCACACCCAUCCAUCCUCCUUCCCUGAUUCAGCGGAACUUUCCCACCAGCCCCUGUGCUUCUCAGCAUCUGUUUCCAUACCUGGUCUCCCAGGGUCAAUUCCACAGCACGAACGUCAGCUGUUCUCAGCCUCUGGGUGUUGAAUGACCCUUCCACAG